AAGGGCGUGAAGUUGGCCUCCACAAUCCCGAAGUUGCCCGAGGAUCCCGAAGAAACGAUGGCGGUGAGUUCAGUUUGAGUGGCGUACCGACCUAGCAGCAUUUUACACGAAAAUGGCGUUCAAUGGCGUAAGUGUCUACACAAAAUCCAGAGGACCCCUGAAGCAUUCGAAUGGAAAAUGGCUCUCAGUUGAAUUUCCUGAAUUUUUGAUGGCUACAGUUGGCCCGUAGCUGCCCACGCACAAAAUGGUCGAGAUUCUAAUUGAAGAUUCUUCUAACAGCUUGUCAUCCUGGCACUACACAAUCUUCAUCAUUAAGAAUCCUGAAAAACAAAGGACAUGUUCGGAAAUGGUGCCUCUCCAGUCACCUUAGAGCAAGAAGUGGACUAAAAAGAUCUCAAAAGAUCACUUGGAUCUAGUCCAGUCGUUUGACUGGACUAAUAGAUGUUGAAGAGAAAGAAUUCUUUACGAGGAUUGCAAUGGAAAAUUUCAAUGUGAAGAGAAUAACAGUUCAGCAGCUAUGAUUUUUUGAAAUUUUUGUACAAUACAUUCAGUAUCUCGAAAUUCUGCCAUGUGUCAGUCUCAGUUAUUUCCCAGUUUUUUCUUGGAUGCAGUAGAAGGAAAAUCCAUUUGUAUGUUCAAUUUGAGAGUUAUGACUACUCGAAAGUUUCAUCAAAAUAAUUGAGCUAUCAUGAUAUUUUUGGCACAUUGUUUAUUCAUUCUAUGUAAACGAAUGACAUUUUCAUGAAGGAAAUUGUGUUUCAUUAGCUUUUUCGUUAGGCAAUUCUGAUAUGUUAAGAAUUCUAAGAUUUGACUGGUUGACUAUUAGUCAGAUAUGUCAUAGAUCGUUGUAAAAUCGUAGCAGUGAGAUAUAGCAGAGAUCAUUAGAAUCAAUUCUGAAUUAUGGUUCACUUGUUCACAAUGUGGGAUUUCACAUUUCCCACAAUGCACAAAGAAUAACAUUCAAGUUACGUAUUAACGCAUUCCACGAAAACUUAAAGAACCCUUAGCUGACAAACUAAUUUUUUUUUAAAGGAAAAUAAUCAUCAAAAUCUGUUAUGGUAGCUAUAAUGUGUAUAACGUAGAUGAAAAUUUAGUAAAACAAACUAUUAAAAGAAUAUAGAUGACAAAAUUACAACUUACUUUGUAAGAAAGUCUCAUCGUCUUGCUUUCCGUUUCUGAUGGAGGAGUUGAAAAUUUUCUUUGUGAUGAUUUUGUUCAAGUAGAAUCACUUCUUUUCUCAAGCUUUUCUCUCUGAUAGAAAUAAUUAAUUAAUAAAACCGAAUCAACAUCAGAAUGAGGAAAACUUUCCUUGGGAUAUUUUGCAAAAACCAACUGUGAAGCUUCCCAAGGUUUGAUUUUUGUUUAUAAUGAUUUUAAAAUGAAAAUAUAUCGUUUUAAACUUACAUUCUCUUGAAAAUUCAUUCAAAAUCGUGGAGAAUCAAGAGAAAUCACUGCGGUAUUCGAGAAAUUGCAAAUGUCUGACCAACGCCAGUUAUUUUGUGGCAAUUGUUUUUGAAUCUCGAUGGAAAUUAGGCGGAGGCGCAGGUUCAUGAUUUUCUAUGACAAAGCUAACUUAGAUCUAAGAAUCGAAGUAUUCAAAGCUUGAGGAGACAAAAACUUGUUGAUAUUCCAAGAAAGAAGAUACAAUUCACGAAAUUUUCCGUAAAAAAAAAUACUGUAGUCGAAAAAAAGAUUUUCGUGUUUAUAGGCUAGGACGGCUAGGUGUACAAGAAGUAGAUAAUACAAGUUGUCCAAAAUAUAUGUUAUUAUUCAAGUUUAAACUAACCUUGGAGAAGGUCCAUUUUUCUUCGAUCUUCAAUUAUAAAGGCACAAUAUGUCUUCUGAAGCUUCUAACCAUUGAGUGAAGAUUCAUCAUUUCCCUCUACUUUUCCCCUCCUUCCUAAUUGACAGAAUUAUUGCUGUUGAAUAAACAAUCACAUCCAGUUUAAGUGAGAAAUCAAAUUUUCCUUUCUGAAAAUUGAUUUUCUCGAAAUAAUAAUACUUUGAACAUACUUUUUUUCAAUCUGAUCGUGUUCAAUUUGAAGAAUGGACUCGUCAACAGGUGUAGCAAAUUAGGAAUGUUAGUCAUUUUAGCAAUUGUUUAUGCGCAAGCUCGUUAACUCUUCGUUACGAAAGUUUUGAACAAAGGAUUUUACAAUAUAAAUUCGCGAAAUAUGAAAUUUGUUGAAUAAAAUAAUAAUAAAAAUCAGCAGAGUAAUCUUGAAAUCAAAGACUACAUCAAAUUUUCAUGAAACAUAUUGAUAGUUGGAUUUCAAGAAGGGAAAAUAACUAAAAGACAACCAUUAUAAAAGCGAACCAAAAUAGUCAUAUAUGUAGAUCACCAUCUUAUAAAAUAAACCCCCAAAGCGAAAUUUUUCGCCUGAGCUGAAAUUUUUCUACCUACCUCGUUCAAAUUCGUUACAGUGGUAAUUCGACGAAAGUUUACUUUAGAGCCCACAUUCGAUUUUUGUAAAUUUCGUUGAAUCCGAUUGAUGUCUUCUGCAGAACUCGUUGAAUUCGAGUUAUUAAUUAUUCAUUUCAUUGGGAAACAUGUGAAUAAUUGAUCGAUUUUGGAUGAAAACAGAACUGAAUAUUUUGAGGUUAAGUUUCCUUAGUUUAAGACUGUUACGAAAUAAUUUUGUUCGAGAAAAUGAUUUGUAGUGAUAAAUAUAAUGAAUAAACCACAAGGAUUAGUUAUUUGAGCGGCGAACAGUGCAAAGUAAUAAAACAUUUCAUAAUAAUAAAACUAUCUCACUCAUUUUUGUGAAUGUUUGGGAAAAUCGCAACUCCCAAAUUGAAAGUUUGCCCAGAUUCAGACUUGUAACGGUGGAUUUUCAAUACUCUACUGCGUCCCAGUAAAAAUCAGCAAAGAAAUCUGAGGUUAGCACUCAAUUGUUGAAUAGUUUAUUACUAGAAAUUUACUUCAAAGAGAAGAUAUGCUCAGAGAUUCUCUUAUUCAAAAACAUCGAGUUCAUAGUUUAAAAUACGAGAUAAGCUGUGAAUUUGGAUGGAACUUAUAUGAAAUAUAUCAAUGUCUUCAGGUCUUAUUCAGAAAUGAUGCUGAUUUAAUCAUCUUAGAGCAUCAAUCGAAAAGCCCCUUUCAAGAUUGAAUGACUUGGUGGACAAAAAGGAUGAAAGUGUGGAUAUGUUGAAAAUUAUCCACACUUUUCCAACUGAGGGAAGGUAUAAAUGGAUCUGUUCUAGUCAGUAGGAACGCAAGAAAUUACAAAUGUCUGACCCAAGCUAAAAAUUUUGUGGCAACUGUUUUGAAUCGCGUAUCGAAAUAAGGAAGGAGGCGCAGUCGCAUUAGCGUUCUAUGAGAAAGCGCAUCCACCAAACAAUUUUGGAAGAAUAUUUUGCCGUCAGAAAUUCAAGAGGAUUGAAACGUAAGGCUACUUAUGAAGCAGUAAGCAAUACAAUACAUUAAUUAAAUAAACAUAAUCCUCUUCAUGAUUAUGAUUAUUUUAUCGUAUCUAUUAGCUCAGAUACGAGCUUCAACAUCGAUACAAAGGAAAUGAAAUAAGAUAAUCAUUGAGUAUGGGAUCUUUGAAACAACAAAAUAAUAGCUCGUAAAUUAUGAUUGCUUGUAUAAUUUUAUUAUAAAUAAAAAAAAAAAAUUGUAAAGAAAGGUAAGUCCAUGUAUGGGCAUUAAUUUAGUACUAGUAGGAAACUGAGGGUGUAUACCUAGGUUCCAGAUGUAUGGAAAAAAGUAUGAAGCGAAUUCUUCAAAUUUUUCAGUUAUGACUGAAAAAUAAAGCAUGAACCAAUAAAAAUUCAUGUUAAAGCAGAAGAAUUUUUUUUAUAGAAAAUUUUUCAAUUAUAAAUGGAAAUAGCAUUCAGAUAGCUGUUAACACACAAUAUAUACUACUUCCCAGUAGAGAAUUUUGACCUGUGUUCUUGCAAAUAUCAGUUUUACCUAACUCUUUUCCUGCUUUCAUGAUUGUUUAUCAAUUGGGUCUGUUCCCUUACAUUAAUUAUUAAUAGUAUUUAGAAAGUUAUCAGCUGCUACCAAAAAAUUGAGUAAUGGAUUGUAAUUUUUCAGAAAUAUAUAUAUAUGAAAAUAUACAAUAAACUUUUCAUUAAAGCAA